CCUACGGGUGGCAGCAGUGGGGAAUAUUGGACAAUGGGGGCAACCCUGAUCCAGCCAUGCCGCGUGUGUGAAGAAGGCCCUCGGGUUGUAAAGCACUUUCAGUGAGGAAGAACGCCUGGUGGUUAAUACCCAUCAGGAAAGACAUCACUCACAGAAGAAGCACCGGCUAACUCCGUGCCAGCAGCCGCGGUAAUACGGAGGGUGCGAGCGUUAAUCGGAAUUACUGGGCGUAAAGCGCGCGUAGGUGGCUUGAUAAGCCGGUUGUGAAAGCCCCGGGCUCAACCUGGGAACGGCAUCCGGAGCUGUCAAGCUAGACGGAGGGAGAGGAAGGUCGCAUGCCCGGUGUAGCGGGGAAAUGCGUAGGGAGCGGGACGAAUACCAGUGGCGAAGGCGGCCUUCUGGAGUGACACUGACCCUGGGGUGCGAAGGCGUGGGUAGCAACCAGGAGUCGAUACCAUAGUGGUC
rnacentral:rRNA from 1 species